rnacentral:rRNA from 1 species
UACGUAGGGAGCGAGCGUUGUCCGGAUUCAUUGGGCGUAAAGAGCUCGUAGGCGGCUUGAUAAGUCGGAUGUGAAACCUCCAGGCUCAACCUGGAGUCGCCAUCCGAUACUGUCAUGGCUAGAGUCCGGUAGGGGCCCACGGAACUCCUGGUGCAGCGGUGAAAUGCGCAGAUAUCAGGAAGAACACCGGUGGCGAAGGCGGUGGGCUGGGCCGGCACUGACGCUGAGGAGCGAAAGCGUGGGGAGCGAACAGG